AUUGAACGCUGGCGGCAGGCUUAACACAUGCAAGUCGAGCGGGGGAAGGUAGCUUGCUACCGGACCUAGCGGCGGACGGGUGAGUAAUGCCUAGGAAUCUGCCUAUUAGUGGGGGACAACAUCUCGAAAGGGAUGCUAAUACCGCAUACGUCCUACGGGAGAAAGCAGGGGAUCUUCGGACCUUGCGCUAAUAGAUGAGCCUAAGUCGGAUUAGCUAGUUGGUGGGGUAAAGGCCUACCAAGGCGACGAUCUGUAGCGGGUCUGAGAGGAUGAUCCGCCAAACUGGGACGGAGACACGGGCCAGACUCCUACGGGAGGUAGCAGUGGGGAAUAUUGGACAAUGGGGGGAACCCUGAUCCAGCCAUGCCGCGUGUGUGAAGAAGGCCUUAUGGUUGUAAAGCACUUUAAGCGAGGAGGAGGCUACUCUAGUUAAUACCUAGGGAUAGUGGACGUUACUCGCAGAAUAAGCACCGGCUAACUCUGUGCCAGCAGCCGCGGUAA
rnacentral:rRNA from 1 species